GUGGCGGGAAGGGCCCGGGAAGGGCCCGGGAAGCGGGAUUGGGACCCUGUGCCCCCCGGGGCCGGGCACACGCCUGCAGGCCCUGCAGGCAAACCCGGCAGCCACAGUUCUGCCCUGGGGGAGCUGGCAGCGGCCACCGGCGAGCAGGCAGUGGGAACUUCACCAGACUGUCGUGACUUUUCAAAUAUGAUGGAAAGCAGCUUUGCAGCUUUGUCUGUCAGUUCCCUUAGGAGCCACAGAUGGAUCUCAUCAGAUCCCAUGGACAUGUGCCAUUUCAGGAUGAAAAGUUGAACCCAAAGGGAAGAGAAGACACUGACUGCCCGUUUUGUAAAGGAACCUCUGUCUUUAGGUCUGCCUUGGAAAUGUGACAUGUGUUUUCAAGAUAUCUCUCAGAAAACAAUGCAGUCUCUAAGUCCCGGUACACUUGCUACACUUGCUGUAGAAGCAGCACACCUUUCUGCAUAGCCAACUGGAAGGAAUCUUCAAGUGUGGCCACAUUUUUCCCAGAGGAGGAAUUCAUAGUCAAAGAAGAACUGCCACAUGAAAGGAGAACACUGGGCUGACGAGGAGAAAACAUAGAUGGAAAAGACACUAUUAAAAAGUAACUGCAGGAAUCUGGGAGUGAUUAGGUUUCACUGCCAAAGCAAUUAUCAGUGAAGUCCCUUCUAGUUCCUCAUGAAGAGCCAUUUGUAGAAAUGAGGAAAUCACUACUGGAUUGCAUUAUUAAUGCAUCUCCCAUAAAAGAUGUCUUAUUUUCUCACUCAGUCCCAUAGCUCUCUAUUCAAGAUAUAUCUAAGUUUUUGUACCAAGAAAAGAGUUUUCUGGAGAAGACAAUUUGAACUUGGCUAGCAAAAAUCCCAGCCCAGAAGCCACGGUAGCCACUGGACAACAGACUGACCCUCCAAAAAACUGGAGAGAGACCAACAACAGUGCGUCGCCUCAUUCUCUGCAGGAGAACAGAGUGUAUGCACCAGGUCUGAUAAAAACAGGAGUGAAAAGAGGUAUCAAGAGCACUGUAAGUCUAUACCAAAAGAGGAAGUGAUGAGAGUUUCCAUGCUUUUUUCUAUUUAUAUUUACCUAUCUUUUCCAGUCACAGAGAGAGUCAGGAAAAAAAAAUGCAAAACUCACCAUCCUCACAGUGAAGAACUUCCUCCUAAUGUCUAACCUAAAUCUCCCCUCUUCUAGUUUAAAACCUUUACCCCUUGUCCUAUCCCUGCAUGAUAGUCCCUGGGUCCCUCCCCAGCUCUUCCUGUAGGCCCUUCAGGUACUGGAUGCUGAGGCUGAAUAAAAACAAAAUUCAAAAAGCGCCCUUCUGACUCAUUGAAAGAGCUGAAAUCUGCGGAUUAUCUCCUUCAAAGGAGGCAGGAGGCAGAAGGGAAGGCCAAGUCCAGCUGACAGCACUGGGGUACAUCCC